rnacentral:rRNA from 1 species
GUUGUAUAGUCAAGUAAUUAAGUGCAUGUGGUGGAUGCCUUGGCAGUCAGAGGCGAUGAAAGACGUGAUAGCCUGCGAAAAGCUCCGGGGAGGCGGCAAAUAUCCUUUGAUCCGGAGAUUUCUGAAUGGGGGAACCCACCUACUUUAAGGUAGGUAUUGCAACAUGAAUACAUAGUGUUGCAAGGCGAACGAGGGGAAGUGAAACAUCUCAGUACCCUUAGGAAAAGAAAUCAAUUGAGAUUCCCUCAGUAGCGGCGAGCGAACGGGGAUCAGCCCAUUAAGUUAUGUGUGUUUUAGUGGAACGCUCUGGGAAGUGCGAACGUAGAGGGUGAUAUUCCCGUACACGAAAGGGCACACAUAAUGAUGACGAGUAGGGCGAGGCACGUGAAACCUUGUCUGAAUAUGGGGGGACCAUCCUCCAAGGCUAAAUACUCCUGACUGACCGAUAGUGAACCAGUACCGUGAGGGAAAGGCGAAAAGAACCCCUGUGAGGGGAGUGAAAUAGAUCCUGAAACCGCAUGCAUACAAGCAGUGGGAGCACCUUCGUGGUGUGACUGCGUACCUUUUGUAUAAUGGGUCAGCGACUUAUAUUCAGUAGCGAGGUUAACCGUAUAGGGGAGCCGUAGAGAAAUCGAGUCUUAAUAGGGCGUUUAGUUGCUGGGUAUAGACCCGAAACCAGGCGAUCUAUCCAUGAGCAGGUUGAAGGUUGGGUAACACUAACUGGAGGACCGAACCCACUGUCGUUGAAAAGCCAGGGGAUGACUUGUGGAUAGGGGUGAAAGGCUAAUCAAGCCUGGUGAUAGCUGGUUCUCCCCGAAAGCUAUUUAGGUAGCGCCUCGGACGAAUACCAUAGGGGGUAGAGCACUGUUUCGGCUAGGGGGUCAUCCCGACUUACCAAACCGAUGCAAACUCCGAAUACCUAUGAGUACUAUCCGGGAGACAGACUGCGGGUGCUAACGUCCGUAGUCAAGAGGAAAACAAUCCAGACCGCCAGCUAAGGCCCCAAAAUCAUAGUUAAGUGGGAAACGAUGUGGGAAGGCAUAGACAGCUAGGAGGUUGGCUUAGAAGCAGCCACCCUUUAAAGAAAGCGUAAUAGCUCACUAGUCGAGUCGGCCUGCGCGGAAGAUGUAACGGGGCUAAAACUAUGUGCCGAAGCUGCGGAUUUGACAUUAGUCAAGUGGUAGGGGAGCGUUCUGUAAGCCGAUGAAGGUGUAUUGAGAAGUAUGCUGGAGGUAUCAGAAGUGCGAAUGCUGACGUGAGUAACGACAAAACGGGUGAAAAACCCGUUCGCCGAAAGACCAAGGGUUCCAGUCCAACGUUAAUCGGGGCUGGGUGAGUCGACCCCUAAGGCGAGGCCGAAAGGCGUAGUCGAUGGGAAAUUGGUUAAUAUUCCAAUACUUCUGUGUAAUGCGAUGAGAGGACGGAGAAGGUUAAGUCAGCCUGGCGUUGGUUGU